rnacentral:rRNA from 1 species
AUGGCAAAUGAAAUCGGUAUACCUUUUGCUGGAGUGCAGGUCUUGUGUGGUGGGGCUAGUAUUGUGGCCAGUGAAGUAUGGGUACAGUCUGCUGGAAUCGGUCCUAUGUUUUGUGUCACUGGUUGUACAGCCAAUAUAAGUGGGGCGCUGUCUGAUUUCUCCGUCACCACCACGUUUUUCAAGGACUUUGCUAGUGCUCCUUCAGAAGUCUUGUACUCUUAUUUCCAAGUUGCUGAAAUCGAGGAGAAGCAUAGGCAACUCAACUUAGACUUGGAAUUGGCUCAGCAAAAUCUGAAAAAAGCUCAAGACGAGGCCGCUGGUAUGGAAGAGAAAAUGAAGUUGGCUCUGGAGAAGAAAGACUCGGACCUCGCCGCCGCGCAGAAAGCAGCCCAAGACAAAACCGUUCUCGCAGACAAGAAGCUUGCUUCAAUCGGAACGCUUGAAGGAGAGGUGAACAAACUGAAAUCUUGUCUUAAUGAAGCUAACCGUGAAGUGACCAGUCUGAAGAAGGACAAGGUCAUCCUGAAUGAAAAUUUGGAGUCUGCAAUCCGCAAGAGGAAUGACACAGAAGCUUAUCUGAGGACUCUCGCCAAGAAGCUUUAUCUCGCGCUGGAAGAACUCUGCCAAGACUUCGACGAAGAAACUGGAAGGGUCAAGACGGGUCUGGACCCUAUCGCUUCCCCAGUUUGUGAUGAAACUGUGAUGAACAUGCUCCGACUGGAGUCCCGUAUCGCCAGCGCCACAAGCUACCUCGCACGCCUGAAGAAGGUUGUCUCUCGAAUCGACUCAUCACUUUUGCCGGGGGCGAUGCUUCAGAAUGACCUGAAAUCCUUGAUGACUCGACUGAACGAGAUCCCUGACCGAGUGCAGGAAUGGAAGAAAUCCUCUGCCCGGUGCGGUGCUGACGUUGCGCUGUCCUUGGUGCGAGUCCAUUGCAAGGAGGCUCGUGAAGAUAAGAUGGCUGCGAUCAAAGUCGCAAACACCAAAAAGCAUGACUUCCAGUCCUUCAUGGAGACUUUCAUCGCUGCCGCCACUCGGAUUGCUGAUGGGAUCGACCUGGACUCAUUCGUGGAGCCUGCCAGCCCUUCUCCGGCCGAGUGA